CACAGAGCUACACUAGCUGUAUCUGCUAAUAGAGUUGCUGCCGUCGCCGCCUCCUCUCAAUGCACGCAUGGAACUGGAAGGCACAGGGAGUUCUCUGCCGUUUUCCUCCAGGGUUUUGGUUGGAGCCAGGUCAGUCCUCCAUUGUUCUCCAGAUUCCAAGAGUUCCUGCUGUGCUGUGUCAGCAACUUGAGUGCAGCGAUUGGAGUUGGGUUCAUCUCUAGCUAUGCUAGAGGGUUAGAGAAAUUAGAUGGAAUGAGAGAGGGGCGACCUCUUCCCUGCACACUUCUGCAUCAUGAAUGAUCGUCACAAUUGACAGGAAUUGUAGAGACUGCAUUUACCUCCAGGAAAGAAGAAAUUACCUCAGUGCAUGUUCCUGCUGCUCUAACCAGCAGGACUGGGGAAAAGCUACUUUCUGCAUGACUGAAAAACAUUUAGGACACAGAACUUGGGCUCCAACUCCUUUGUAUUUCCCCGGCUACUUUAAUACAGUGAGCUUUGGACUCCAGGGAGAAAGUCUAAAAAUACUGGAUCCUAUUUGUUCAAAAGUAAGUACCAAAGAUGGAAAAGGCCUGCUUUUGCCUUAAAGGAAGAAAGGAAUAUAAAGUCUUAAUGUUUUUAUUGUUAAACUCUAAAUCAAAG
rnacentral:lncRNA from 1 species